rnacentral:lncRNA from 10 species
GUCCAGGCCUUCAUCUUUCUUCUGUGCUGGAUGCUUCCCUGCUCUUGAACAUCAAGACUUCAGGUUCUUUGACUUUUGGACCCUUGGACUUACACCAGUGGUUUGCCAGGUGCUCUCAGGGCUUCCGCCACAGACUGAAGCCUGCACCGUCAGCUUCACUGUCAUAUUUUUCAGGUUUUGGGACUCAGACUGAGCCACUGCUGGCUUCCUUGCUCCUCAGCUUGCAGAUGCCUAUUGUGGGACUUCACCUUACAGUCAUACCCGAUGUGAAGCCUGACUGAGCAGAGUGGAGACCAGCAGCUGCACGUCAAGUGGCCUUCCCAGGACUUGACUCCAUAUGCAUGUUCUCGUCCAUGGGCUCAUACCCAGUCCAAAGGACUUUACCCCAGCUCCAUCUUUGCCCAGACACACUUGAGGCUGCAGGGUUUUGGUGACUGUAAAUUGGUCUUGACCCUCUGAGGAAAUGGGGAUGCUGCAGAAGACACUGGCUAAAUUGAUAAAAUGAGAUUUGUAACCACCCUGGGACAGAGCUCCCAGAGGGAGAGACGGGCCACUAUCUUUGCCAUUUAGAUGACUUAGCUGUUCCAGCCUUCAGGCCUCAGAGUAUCUGAGGAACCAGGGGCUGACAUGGACCCCCAGCACAGCACAGCUGCUCUACCAAAACAUGGCCAGACUGUUUCUUUAAGCAGGUCCCUGAUCCCAUUCCUCCUCACUGGGCAGGACCUCCCAAAUGGGGUCUUCAGCCACCUCCUACAGGUGCCUUUGCAUUGGCAACAAGCCUGUACCAUCCUGGGAUGAAGCUUCAGGGAGGGACUGCUGCUAUUUUUG